rnacentral:lncRNA from 1 species
GUCUCCAUAUGGGCUUGGCAAUGCAGAGACUAUCAAUCUCGUCGAGUUUCUGAACAUUAUGAAAGAAUUUAAAGGAAAACCGAACAAUGAGAGCAAGGAAAAAAACUUUGAAUUCCAGUAAAAAACAGCAGGUGAAGAAAAAACAUGUACCUCGGAGAAAAGGAUGUAAUACAAGUGGGUCUGGCUCGAGAAGCUAGAGAGAGACUCAACGAAGCUGAAAUAGCCGAAGCUACCAUUCUUUUAGAUAUAUAUCGACACAAAGAAGGAAAUUGAGAUUUUCAGAGAAAGUCUGAAAGAGAGGUUUUUUGAGUGGAUAGCGAGGACAAAGAAAGUUGCAGCUGCAGAGUGAGUUUUGUUUUCGGGUUACG